rnacentral:lncRNA from 1 species
CAGACCUUUAAGUCUUGGCUGUCUUUUCCUCACAUGGAUGCACCCUCCAUUCCUCAGUAAUAAAUCUACCCAGGUGUAGCUCUGUGCUGAGUCCUGUAUAUCCUGCUAGAGAUUCACCAAAUCAAGUACUAUCCAUUAUGCGAAGUUCCCCAUCAUGGGAACCCGCUGGUGUCUCACUAUCUUCAGGAGCUUGGCAUCUUCCAGUCAUUUCACAUUACUGUUUAUUCUUUUGUCUUCCUAGAGAUUAUUGGCAAGCUCAUCAUUCAGUGAGUUCUCCAGUGCGUGCAGACCUUAGGACGAUUGCUUCAAUCUUCUUGAACAGUUUUGUUCAGUGCUUUUAUUUGCUCUAGCUGAGAACCAUGGAUAAAUUAGUGUUUUUCAUAAGUGUCUCAGAGCUCACACCCUCGGGAUCCAUAGGAGUCCUCCCUGACCAAGAAGCAGCACCACCCAAGAACUGCUUCACCCAGAAGCCUUUGUGCAGGAGCAAUAGCAAAGCUUGGCAACUGCUUCACCCAGAAGCCUUUGCACUCAAACUUAAUGCACGCCAGCUGCUUGACCCGGAGGCCUUUGGGCCCCAGGCAGCAACAGGGAAUGAAAGCCUGCAAGGUCCAUUUGUCCUAGACCCAGUUGCAGGAAAAACUGUCAUCACUUCAGACAGAAAGGCUGGAGGUGGCAAUGAGCACACAGUGAACCUCAGCUUUCCCUGUGGAGAUGGCAAGUUUGUCAUGUUGGCUUCCUGAAGAACCUUGGUGACUUGUAAUGAAGUUCAUGCCCCCAUUAAGAAGAGCUGUGUAUCCCAAGGUCCUUCAGAAUUCCUGAUGUGUCAGUUGCACAGCUGUUUAGUUUCUAGGAAAGAGGAAAUUUUUUAUAUGUGACAGAAAAUGAACUAUCGGCAAUGUAGUACAGUAUAGCUAAGUAAGUACUGAAGUGCAGAUAAAUACCUAAAAUAUGAAUUAUGCCCAGUCAGCACUUUUUCAGGGGACGAAGGGUACCUAGUUCAUGGAAAGCAGAAUUCCAAAAUUGUCCAGGUAUUGUCUUUAUUCCCAGAAAGAGUUGGAACAUCCAGACACGAUUUUUUACCGAUAAUAACCAUAAAUAGAUUGAUUUGGAAUCAUCUGCUAUUGUUGGCAUACGAGCACAUGGAUAAAAACUGCUGACACAGCAUGUCUCCAACAGCUGUGGAGCCAGAAUCCUUGGCUGACAUUCAGGCCUGUCCAGAGAGCAUUAUAUGGGCCUUAACAAGGGACCUGGCUUGUCCUGCUUUGUACUUCUUUAUAACACCUAAAUGAAACCCACCUCCAAUGAGGCUACAACAUGCACAGGGCUUAGAGUAAGGCCUCACACCUGCAUGGUAGGCGCUGGAAAAGCUCACUCCGUUCUGAAGAGUUUCCCUCUCUAGUUGAUAUUUUUAUAUAUAAACAAAUAAAUAUAUACAUACAAACGGCUGAGUCUGUUUA